AUAAUACAGGUAUAAUUUUAAAUUCACUCUUGUACGCCUCAUGAGUUUGGAGUCAUAGAUCUUCUUUAUUAUUAUUAUUCUUUCGGGUUUUUUUGCAUGUUUUUGUGUCUGAUCCCCGUAGCCAGUUGAACCGGCGUCGUUACCGAGCGAUCUGACAGCGCUGUCGAGUUCUGGAUUGUGAUUGGUCGGAAGGUGUCGAUUUAGUUCUCUAUAACACGGCAGCUCUGACAGCGCUGUCGAGUUCUGGAUUGUGAUUGGUCGGAAGGUGUGGAUUUAGUUCUCUAUAACGGCAGCUCUGACAGCGCUGUCGAGUUCUGGAUUGUGAUUGGUCGGAAGGUGUCGAUUUAGUUCUCUAUAACACGGCAGCUCUGACCGUAGCGCAGGUUUACAUUAAUUCGCUCGUUCUGAUGCGCCGUCGUUUCUAUAGUAACGGCUCGUUCACAGGGACUCGGGUCACUGAUGAUGAACAGAUUUUUUUAAAAAUCGUCGACGCGGUGGAGUUUUCUGUAAGGAGAUGAUUGUUUAUCUAACACUUCAUGGAAGUGUCGGAGGUAAAGCUGUAACUAAGUUUUUUUCCAGACAUUUUCUUUGGUUUCUCGGAGUGUUUGUAGCUGCUGUAACGUAAGCGGGAACAGGAAGUGACUCGUUUCACAGAACAGUAAAGAUGACUAUAUACGGAUUAAAAAUUGUUUAAUAAAUAAAGAAUUGUAAUCGUUGCGAGUCUCUGUGGCAAAAGAGGAAUAAAACGCUCGCUCUUGUAGGAAAGUCUGCUGCGUUCCAGUUUCAGUUCUCUGGUACAGCUGGCUACAUUUCUCUUGCGCUCUGUCUUGCUCUCUCUCUCGACCCCCCGCGAGUUAUUUUGACUGAAUCCAUGACUUGACUUGAAUCCAUGAUGCAGGUGGAACCCAACUUCUUUUAUUAUUAUUAUUACCUAUAGAACCUGUAAUGAAACAAAGAACUUCUUUCAUCUCCAAAGACAGUUCCAUAUAGCUCCACUCAAGACAAUGAAAAACGGUUCUUGACCAGAAGGUUCUUUGCAGAACCUUUAAAGAACCAUU
ensembl:lncRNA